CGUCUCAUUGGCUCUGUUCUUACCUCUGAAGCACUCAGCGAGCAGCACACGAGGGGAAAAAUCACAGAGAAUGUCAGGACCUCAAUGCUGCGAGAACCCUCCAACCCUGACCCAACCCGCGGACAAGGCCAUGUCGAGGAGCUGGGUGGAGUCAAGAGCUACGUCUCUGGCUCAUCUGACUCUGAUCUACCCUGUACUUCCUUUUUUAUUGAUCAAGUUUGCAUUAUGGGUUCAUAGUCAGUGCUUCUGGUUCAAUCUGUAACGUGGGUCAGUGAUUUAAGUUGUAUUUUGUCAUAAUCUCUUGGUCAACCUUUAAGUCCCGUUUUUUUAGGUUGUAAUCUGAUGAAACUAUCCGAUUCUUGCUUUGACGCGAGUGGCUAUGUUUACGGAGUAGGCUGUUUCUUGGAAGUUUAUAUUGAGAGUUGUUUCAUGGUGGCAUGUGAUUUAGCAAUUGGAGGUUACUGAAAUAGGAGCAUAAAGAAGGAAAACCUAUUUAUAUGGUUUCAUUUCUACCAUUUCAUCUGUUUUCCUCUUCUCAGAACUAACCAUAAUUUGGGUGGUUAUAUUCAUUGUGCAGGAUGUGAAGCUCCAAGCUUGAGGUAUAGACGAUUCCCAUAUAAUCCUUUCUUGCAACUUGCUUGUUUUUAUUCUUCCCAGACCAUCUCUGUGCGUGUCUCUGUUGGGGGCAGUGGAGGAGGUUCUGCAUGAAUGAGACUUCCCUUCUUGUCUUUCUAUUGUUCAUUUAAUUUUGACUUUUUAUCGCAUUUUCAAUUGCUUCACAGUUCAUUAUGUUAUGACUUUCCUCUAGCUUUAUGCGUUAAAAUUAACAGAAGAUUGCUAAGGUCUACAUAAGGUAAUGAUGUGUUUAUUUCCCCUGAACACUAGAGAAGUCAAAGGAACCACUUCUUUGGCAGCUUAUCCAAUAUUACAGUCAGGUUGUUCGCUUAUGAUGAAAAUCCUCAAGGUCUGUGACUUUGGGUGCUCUUUCGAGAUAGAUCUUGAGAUUCUCUAGAGUACUUUGGAUAGUGGAUAUGAGAGAAGCUGUGGUAUUCAGAAUGUCCAAUUGGGACUGAGAUUCUUCUAUCUCGACUUGAGUGUCUCAAGAGUAAGAGCAUGGGGAUCUCUGCCGAAAAAGCAGGCCCUUGUCAUGCAAUGUGAUAUGUCUUUUCAUUAGUAUUAUUGAACUGUUAUUAAUCAAGGACCUUCCAAUCUUCCAUACUGAUGAAAGCUUACUCUACGUAAUGCUUAAGAAUUCCCAUAUGGUGAUCAAUCUCGUCAAAAUCUUGCUGACUUGGUGGCAGCUGCUGCUGUGGUUGUGCCUGAUUUUUUUGUUGAGGAUCCUUCUGUGCCUGAAAAUGCCAAAAGGCCAUGGAAUAGCUAAGUAUCAUGGAACUGUGGGUUCUCGAUCUUUAAUUCAUAGACAUUUGCUGUUUUUUCCUUAGAAACUGCGCUAGUAUUAUUCAUAAGUUGAUCCAGAAUUGCCUAUCUCGGGAUGCUCACUGUUUUCCCAUUAUUGAUUAGUUGCUUAAGCUACGACUCAUAAUUAUGCAUCCAUUAGUAAUUGUGAUUGCUGAUGCCAAAAGAAUUUUUUUUGCAGGAUAAGUGUUAUGAAGAUGCAAAGCGAAUAGUUGAAGCUGUAAAAGGUAAAGGUGUGUCUGCGAUUAGGGCUGCUGGCUUUGCUCAUGGGAUCUUCAUUUCUUCAGCUAAGGGGUGGUUGAGCUGGCAAAGACAGGGGUCGUCAAAGCUGCUGCGUUACUAGAUCCGAUGUUAGUUUCUGUGGAUGACAUCGAGGGAGUAUGGGCUCCAAAUAGCCAUAUUAUUUUCUGAGAUAGACUGUAUGUCACCACUGGAACUCCUGAAGCAGUUUGAAGAGAUUCUAACUGCCAUAUCUGAGGUUGAUGCGCGAGUAAAGAUAUUUCCAAAAGUUUCCCAUGGGUGGACUGUCAAGUAUGAUGUUGCUGAUGAAGCAGUGGUGAAGUUUGCUGAGGCGAAUUGGGAUAUGCUAGAAUGGUUUGCAAAGUUUAUCAAUUGAGGGUAGUCUCUGGCAUCAGUUGAAAACCUACACUCUGGCAUGUGACAACUUGUUGUGUAAUAAAGUUGACGCUGUUUACUUUCUGCAUUCUGCAAUUGCCAAGAAAAUGGAGAAGGCUAGUGGGGAUUUUGUUCUGUUUCUGCAUUUCAACUUGAGUUCUGCCAUAAAGAUUAGAUGAAGUAGAAUCUCUCCCGAUCAAUG